rnacentral:tRNA from 1 species
ACCUGCCGGGCGGCGGUGGCCCGGUCGGCGGCGCUCAGGCCGCCGUCGCGGUGGUAGACGAGGACGAGGCCGGUGAUCUCGCCGCCGGGCAGCUU